UACGUAGGGGGCAAGCGUUAUCCGGAUUUACUGGGUGUAAAGGGAGCGUAGGUGGUGUGGCAAGUCAGAUGUGAAAGCCCGGGGCUCAACCUCGGGACUGCAUUUGAAACUGUCAUACUAGAGUGCAGGAGAGGUAAGUGGAAUUCCUAGUGUAGCGGUGAAAUGCGUAGAUAUUAGGAGGAACACCAGUGGCGAAGGCGGCUUACUGGACUGUAACUGACACUGAGGCUCGAAAGCGUGGGGAGCAAACAGG
rnacentral:rRNA from 1 species